rnacentral:rRNA from 1 species
AGCGAACGCUGGCGGCAGGCCUAACACAUGCAAGUCGAGCGGCAGCGCGGGGGCAACCCUGGCGGCGAGCGGCGGACGGGUGAGGAAUGCGUCGGAAUCUGCCUCUUUGUGGGGGAUAACGUAGGGAAACUUACGCUAAUACCGCAUACGACCUACGGGUGAAAGUGGGGGACCGCAAGGCCUCACGCAGAGAGAUGCGCCGACGCCGGAUUAGCUAGUUGGCGGGGUAAAGGCCCACCAAGGCGACGAUCCGUAGCUGGUCUGAGAGGAUGAUCAGCCACACUGGAACUGAGACACGGUCCAGACUCCUACGGGAGGCAGCAGGGGGGAAUAUUGGACAAUGGGCGCAAGCCUGAACCAGCCAUGCCGCGUGUGUGAAGAAGGCCUUCGGGUUGUAAAGCACUUUUGUCCGGAAAGAAAAGCAUUCGGUUAAUAACCGGGUGUCAUGACGGUACCGGAAGAAUAAGCACCGGCUAACUUCGUGCCAGCAGCCGCGGUAAUAC